UAGUAUCUUUUUUUGCACUACACCUGUUGCAGAGAAGAAAAGAACCAAAAAAAGGAAGUGAGUAACUACAAUGCAUAUUUUAAGCAAAACAUGUAUUGACAACAAGCAACUCUCGGCAAGGGAUGAAAAAACAGAAUGCCUGCUCACGUUUCUCUUUUGUUUCCAAGUACUGGUUGUUGUGUGUUUAGGCUUGCUUUUGGACUAGUAAAAAAGUGUGUUGGAAAACAGAAAGGAGCGGCAACUUUUAUGGUUGUUUUAAGCAAACACAGUGGUAAAAACAAGCAACUCGCAUGUGUGCUCUUGUGUUGAGGGUGAAAAAAUAUGGGGUAAACACAUCUCUGAAUUUUAAUUUGCUUUGUGCACAGCUAUUUUUAAGCAAAGUCCAGUUCAAUGAUUUAGCAACUCUAGAAAGCAGAAGCAAGUUCUAGGGGUGUUUUGAGCAAAAACAGUGUUAAGAGCAAACAAACUCAUGUGUGGUCAUGUGUUAAGGGUGAUAAAAGAGGGGUAGAAGCAACUAUGAAUUUUAAUUUGGUUUGUACAUUGCUGUGGUGAUAGAGUUUAGUUUUUUUAAAGCACCAACAUCUAGGUGGGUUGUUUUCAAAGCAAGUCAAAUGCUGGCAUUAAUCAACUAUGUGCACAAAAUCGGUAAAAUCACACACGAUUGGUUCCUCUCUAGAUAGUAAAGCAAGUAAUCUACUAGUGCAUGGUAUGGAGAUUACCUGGAGAGUAGCUGCUCUAGGCCUUCCAUGGCUUUGAUAUUUUUGUAUGUGGGUCCUGCAAAAAUUGAAUGAAACAAAAAAAACUAAUGUUUCUUCGUAGCUUUUCUCCUCUAAAGAAAGCUACAAUGGUGUUCGGUUCCCCAAGAAACCAUGGUGAAGCAAAAAAACAGUCAUAGACAAACAUAGUAAGGGAAAAAUUGUAAGGACUAGGUAAAAAAUAAUCAUAAAAACACACAGUAGUAGUUUUGUUACUGCUGGAAGAAUAAGAC
rnacentral:lncRNA from 1 species